ACAACUGGUGGACUCAGCUCAAGAACAACAGACAAACAGGAAGGCCAAAGCCUCUGAAGUGAUAUGCCCAGGAUGUGGGUAUCAACAACAUUGGUUUGGCUCCAAGGAAUUUCAUUUUCUGAAGAAUUUUGAAAAUCAACCCCUAUGAAUUCAGAAGAAAUCUUAAAAAGGAACAGGGUGGAUCCAGAAUGUUUUAUGAAUGUUAGUGAUCAGCGCUGGAUGGCUUAAGGAAGAUAUCUUAAAAAAUAAAAGUCCUUCAUGC